CCGCCCAUAGCUCAGUUGGUAGAGCAACAGCCUUUUAAGCUGAUGGUCGAGGGUUCGAAUCCCCCUGGGCGGACUA
rnacentral:tRNA from 1 species